AUGUUUAUUCAUUUAAUGUUUUUAGAUUUUUUAUUAGGAAUGUGACCUGAGGAGUGACUGCUUUUGGGAGUAAAAUCGUUUUUCCGUUCUAAUAAACUUGGAUAUGGAUUUUUUAUAUGAUUUUAUGUAGUCCUAAUUCAGCCAUGAAACACA